UUCCGGUUGAUCCUGCCAGAGGUUAUUGCUAUCAGGGUUUGACUAAGCCAUGCGAGUCGAGAGGUGUAAGACCUCGGCAUACUGCUCAGUAACACAUGGAUAAUCUGCCCUUAGGUGGAGGAUAUCCCCGGGAAACUGGGACUAAUACUCCAUAGUGGAUAUAUGCUGGAAUGCUGUAUCCUCGAAAGAUUAAUCGCCUAAGGAUGAGUCUGUGCCCGAUUAGGUUGUUGGCGGGGUAACGGCCCACCAAGCCAUUGAUCGGUACGGGUUGUGGGAGCAAGAUCCCGGAGAUGGAUUCUGAGACAUGAAUCCAGGCCCUACGGGGCGCAGCAGGCGCGCAAACUUUACAAUGCGAGCAAUCGUGAUAAGGAAACCCUGAGUGCCUGUCGAUGCAGGCUGUUCAUAUAUCUAAAUCAUAUGUGAAGAAAGGGCAGGGCAAGACCGGUGCCAGCCGCCGCGGUAAUACCGGCUGCUCGAGUGAUAACCACUAUUACUGGGUUUAAAGCGUCCGUAGCUUGAUUGUUAGGUCUCUUGGGAAAUCUUCACGCUCAACGUGAAGGCGUCUAAGAGAUACCGGCAAUCUUGGAACUGGGAGAGGUAAACCGUACUUCGGGGGUAGGAGUGAAAUCUUGUAAUCCUCGAGGGACGACCUAUGGCGAAGGCAGUUUACCAGAACAGCUUCGACAGUGAGGGACGAAAGCUGGGGGAGCAAACGGGAUUAGAUACCCCGGUAGUCCCAGCCGUAAACAAUGUGCGUUAGGUCUGUCGGUAACCACGUGUUACUGAUGAGCCGAAGAGAAAUCGUGAAACGCACCACCUGGGAAGUACGGUCGCAAGGCUGAAACUGAAAGGAAUUGGCGGG
rnacentral:rRNA from 1 species